UACGUAGGGGGCAAGCGUUGUCCGGAUUUAUUGGGCGUAAAGAGCGCGUAGGCGGUUUGGUAGGUCCGCUGUGAAAACUCGAGGCUCAACCUCGAGACGCCGGUGGAAACCAUCAGACUAGAGUCCGGAAGAGGAGAGUGGAAUUCCUGGUGUAGCGGUGAAAUGCGCAGAUAUCAGGAAGAACACCCGUGGCUAAGGCGGCUCUCUAGUACGGUACUGACGCUGAGGCGCGAAAGCGUGGGGAGCGAACAGG
rnacentral:rRNA from 1 species